rnacentral:rRNA from 1 species
GACGAACGCUGGCGGCGUGCCUAACACAUGCAAGUCGAGCGAUGAAACCUUUCGGGGUGGAUUAGCGGCGGACGGGUGAGUAACACGUGGGUAACCUGCCUCAAAGAGGGGAAUAGCCUCCCGAAAGGGAGAUUAAUACCGCAUAAUAUGUUUUGAUCGCAUGAUCAAAAUAUCAAAGGAAUUUUCUUCGGAAUAUUCCACUUUGAGAUGGACCCGCGGCGCAUUAGCUAGUUGGUGAGGUAACGGCUCACCAAGGCAACGAUGCGUAGCCGACCUGAGAGGGUCGAUCGGCCACAUUGGAACUGAGACACGGUCCAGACUCCUACGGGAGGCUG